rnacentral:rRNA from 1 species
AUUGAACGCUGGCGGCAUGCUUUACACAUGCAAGUCGAACGGUAACAGGCCUUCGGGUGCUGACGAGUGACGAACGGGUGAGUAAUGCAUCGGAACGUGCCCAGAGGUGGGGGAUAACGCAGCGAAAGCUGUGCUAAUACCGCAUGUGAUCUGAGGAUGAAAGCGGGGGACCAAGCAGCAAUGUUUGGCCUCGCGCCUCUGGAGCGGCCGAUGUCAGAUUAGGUAGUUGGUGGGGUAAAGGCCUACCAAGCCGACGAUCUGUAGCUGGUCUGAGAGGACGACCAGCCACACUGGGACUGAGACACGGCCCAGACUCCUACGGGAGGCAGCAGUGGGGAAUUUUGGACAAUGGGCGCAAGCCUGAUCCAGCAAUGCCGCGUGCGGGAAGAAGGCCUUCGGGUUGUAAACCGCUUUUGUACGGAACGAAAAGGCUCUGGCUAAUACCUGGGGCUGAUGACGGUACCAUAAGAAUAAGCACCGGCUAACUACGUG